GUUUGCUUCUCCAUGUGCACCUAGCCUUUUGCCUCUACUCGGUUUCAAAUACCAGCCGCUCUCCUGGAUGGUAAUUACUACUGCAAACACGCAAACCACAUGGAUUUUAAAAGAUGCAUAUUCGAUGGGGCGGGGAUCUUCUCUGACAACAUAACAGAAGUUAAGCAUUACUUUGUAUUUUUCCCCCAACUAUCCAAAGAUUGAUGGCGGGGCUGGUGGUGAUUCGGGCACGUUACUGACCGCACAAACCAUCACAUCUGAGUCCGUGUCAACAACGACAACCACACACAUCACCAAGACUGUAAAAGGUGGAAUUUCUGAAACAAGAAUUGAGAAACGCAUUGUGAUCACAGGAGAUGGAGAUAUUGAUCAUGACCAGGCACUGGCUCAGGCGAUCAGGGAAGCCAGAGAGCAGCACCCUGACAUGUCGGUCACAAGAGUGGUGGUACACAAAGAAACAGAGUUGGCUGAGGAAGGGGAAGAUUAAGUAAGAAAGUCAUUUUUUAAACAACACUCAACUUUGUGAACCCCUGAAGAUUUUUUGACCGUUCCAAGUCUUAAUGCCACACCACUAUUCCAGCGAAUUUAUGCUACAACUGGUAACAAUGACCAGAAGCCUGAAGAAUUAAAAUGCCAACACCAAACCUUUCCUUACCAGCUCUGGUCUAUAUUGCUCCCAUGCAUUUAAUAUAUUAUUUUGUUUUAUAACCACUUC
rnacentral:lncRNA from 1 species